rnacentral:rRNA from 1 species
ACGGGUGAGUAACGCGUGGUCAACCUACCGUUGAGUGGGGGAGUAACUAGCCGAAAGGUUAGCUAAUACCGCAUACGUCUCCGAGGGGCGAUCCCUUGGCGAUAAAAGGAGCAAUCCGCUCGAUGACGGGACCGCGUCCCAUUAGCUAGAUGGUGGGGUAACGGGCCUACCAUGGCACCGAUGGGUAGCUGGUUUGAGAGAGCGACCAGCCACACUGGGACUGAGAAACGGCCCAG